rnacentral:rRNA from 1 species
UGGGGAGUAUUGCACAAUGGGCGCAAGCCUGAUGCAGCAACGCCGCGUGAGGGACGACGGCCUUCGGUUGUAAACCUCUUUAGUCAGGAAGCGGUACCUGCAGAAAAGACACCGGCUAACUACGUGCCAGCAGCCGCGGUAAUACGUAGGGUGCAAGCGUUGUCCGGAAUUAUUGGGCGUAAAGAGCUCGUAGGCGGUUUGUCGCGUCUGCUGUGAAACGCGAGGCUCAACCUCGCGCCUGCAGUGGGUACGGGCAGACUAGAGUGCGGUAGGGGAGAUUGGAAUUCCUGGUGUAGCGUGGGAAUGCGCAGAUAUCAGGAGGAACACCGAUGGCGAAGGCAGAUCUCUGGGCCGAACUGACGCUGAGGAGCGAAAGCGUGGGGAGCGAACAGGAUUAGAUACCCUGGUAGU